rnacentral:rRNA from 1 species
ACGAACGCUGGCGGCGUGCCUAAUACAUGCAAGUUGAGCGCUGAAGGUUGGUACUUGUACCAACUGGAUGAGCAGCGAACGGGUGAGUAACGCGUGGGGAAUCUGCCUUUGAGCGGGGGACAACAUUUGGAAACGAAUGCUAAUACCGCAUAAAAACUUUAAACACAAGUUUUAAGUUUGAAAGAUGCAAUUGCAUCACUCAAAGAUGAUCCCGCGUUGUAUUAGCUAGUUGGUGAGGUAAAGGCUCACCAAGGCGAUGAUACAUAGCCGACCUGAGAGGGUGAUCGGCCACAAUGGGACUGAGACACGGCCCAAACUCCUACGGGAGGCAGCAGUAGGGAAUCUUCGGCAAUGGACGAAAGUCUGACCGAGCAACGCUGCGUGAGUGAAGAAGGUUUUCGGAUCGUAAAACUCUGUUGGUAGGGAAGAACGUUGGUGAGAGUGGAAAGCUCAUCAAGUGACGGUAACUACCCAGAAAGGGACGGCUAACUACGUG